rnacentral:lncRNA from 1 species
UUGUGAACCACUGGAAGGCCGACCCAGACAGGGAUGACGAGAAAAGUCGCACCCGUAGAGCAUCCUGCGCCGCUGCUUCUCCGCAUUGGAUGAUGAAUCUGUUCACGUGUUCUACGGUUGAGGUGUCGUCCAGCCCCGAAAACUUGGUGAAAUCAGGAACUUUAUACCGAUGAGGAAACGGCAGUAAGUCGUAUGUAGGCGGGUACGGUGUCCUGUAUGUGUAGGUCUGCACCUUCGGUUUCAAGCCGAAUUGUUCCUGAAUCACCUCUGCUAUACGUGCCGACCAGUCCGACUGUUG